AAGUCGUAACAAGGUUUCCGUAGGUGAACCUGCGGAAGGAUCAUUAUUGAACAAUCAAACCAAUGUAGACUGUGUUGUAGCUGGCUUUCGGGCAUGUGCACGCCAGUUUACAAUUGUUCUCCAUCCACCUGUGCACUUUAUGUAGGCUCACAGUCGUUCUUCACCUGAAAAUGGUGGCUUUGAAAGCAUUAUUGUUUUCAAGCGAAUGUGGUCUAUGUUUUAUACACUCGAUGAAUGUCUUAGAAUGUCAUGUUAUAUUCAAAUACAAAUAUAACUUUCAGCAACGGAUCUCUUGGCUCUC
rnacentral:misc_RNA from 1 species